GCAUUCACAUUGUAGGGAUUUUAAAGAAUGUAUUUGUAAAUUAUGGUGGGAAAUACUUGGUCAACCAUUCAAAGCUCUCACUGAUGGAAGGAGGUUUUGGCUCAAAAUCUCAUGCUACAUGGCCCCAUUCAUUCUUUCUUUAACACGGAUCAAUCGUCAUGUCCCCUUAGCAGAAAAACAACCCUAAAGCAUGAUGUUUCCACCCCCAUGUUUCACAGUAGGUAUGGUGUUCUAGGGAUGCAACUUAGUAUUCUUCUUCCUCCAAACACGACGAGUUGGAUUUAUACCAAAGUUAUAUUUUGGUUUCAUCUGACCACAUGACAUUCUCCCAAUUCUUGGUUGUAUCAUCCAUGUGCUCUCUGACAAACUUCAGGCGGGCCUGGACAUGCACUAGUUUAACCAGGGGGACACGUCUGGCACUGCAGGAUUUGAUUCCCCGUCGGCGUAGUGCGUUACUGAUGGUAACCAUUGUUACUUCGGUCCCAGUUCUCUGCAGGUCAUUCACCAGGUCCCCCCGUGUGGUUCUGGGAUUUUUGCUCACCGUUCUCAUGAUCAUUUUGACCCCACGGGAUGAGAUCUUGCGUGGAGCCCAGAUCGAGGGAGAUUAUCAGUGGUCUUAUUCACUCUUCCCAGUCUGGUGCAGAUCUACAAUUAUUUUCCUGGUGUCCUUCGACAGCUCUUUGGCCUAGGCCAUAGUGGAGUUUGGAGUCUGAAUGUUUGAAGCUGUGGACAGGUGUAUUUUAUACAGAUAACGAGUUCAAACAAGUGCCAUUAAUACAGGUAACGAGUGGUGGACAGAAUAGCUUCUUAAAGAAGAAGUUACAGGUCUGUGAGAGCCAGAGAUCUUCCUUGUUCGAAGUGACCAAAUACUUAUUUUACACCAUAAUUUACAAAUAAAUUAUUUAAAAUUC